UACGUAGGGUGCGAGCGUUUGUCCGGAUUUAUUGGGCGUAAAGAGCUCGUAGGCGGUUUGUCGCGUCGGGAGUGAAAACACCGGGCUUAACUCGGUGCUUGCUUCCGAUACGGGCAGACUAGAGGCAUGCAGGGGGAGAACGGAAUUCCUGGUGUAGCGGUGAAAUGCGCAGAUAAUCAGGAGGAACACCGGUGGCGAAGGCGGGUCUCUGGGCCGUAACUGACGCUGGAGGAGCGAAAGCGUGGGGAGCGAACAGG
rnacentral:rRNA from 1 species